UGGUUACUUUCACAAGUGUUGCACCACGGCUACAGGCGAUGGUCUUGUGUUUGCCAAAAGCGCGCAGAUGCCACGCCUGUGGCCUCGACCCGGAGACAGAUCGACGCCAUUGAGCAAUCCUUCCCAAAUGAGCAAAUGGAUGAGGACAUGGAACAUGGUCAGCAUACCACUAUGCUUGCACACAUGCUGUGAAGACUUGAUCAAAUUAACACCGUUGCUGUUAUGAUAACUUUGCAGGUACAACAGUGCAGCCGUUUUCAGAAAGAAACACUUCAGAUGCUGAAGUACAGACUUUGCCAUGUGGAACGCUAUGCACAUCUUGCACUGUUCUUCACAUGAAGGUGGCAUCACUCACUGAAUGUGUGCAACAAUUAAGCUCCACCAACAAAAAGCUCUCCGAGAAGCUGGCAAUGCAACAGUGUAAACUUGAUGCCUCAGAAGAAGCUCACAUUUUAUACUGGCAUUCCGAGGGCAAUAUUCGUUGGAUUGUUAGCUGCUAUUAUGUCAUGCUUGCCACAAGCACAACCCAGGCUUCCCCACUCUUCACAGCUUGUAAUUGUUCUGAUGAAGCUGAGACUGGCAGUUCCGUACCAAGAUCUCGCAUAUCACUUUGACAUUCAUCGGAACACAGUCAGGGCCAUCUUCAAGAUGUGGAUAAAGCCACUAGCAUCUCUGUGCCGCCACCUUGUGACCUUCCCUAGCUCAAAGCUGGCUAACGAGGAAAGAGAAAAAGAAAUUUGCAAGGUUACGUGCCAUUAUUGACUGCACUGAAGCAGUGUCACGCAACGGAGCGUCCGAUCCAGACGACAGCCAGGGAUCAAGUAACGCAGAGCAGGGACGACGGAGCGACCGACCGCACGUCUUCUCCCUACGUGAGCCAGCGGCCGACUGACGCAGGCGCCACUCUACGGGUGCUACGCAUGCGCGCCCUCUGCGCGCUCCUAGCGCGACCUGCGGCGACCACAAGUCAGAAGUAAGACGACCGUACCCGCCAAUGUCCAAGAGAGAAGUGAAUCCUUGCGCCCCCUACAGACUUUGCUCAUUGGUCGUGACGUCAGCCAAUUGUCUCAGGGCUCCACUGUUUUUUUCCACUAUGCUCAACUGGACAAGGUCCACCUGAAACAAUAGAGCCGCGGCAUGACGUCAUCACCCAAGCAUGCACCUGCGUGGCUCAAGGACGCGUACGCUCUAGACAGGGGACCUGUUAUUUACUCAAUAACUAUCCCAAGAUUAUUUCCUUUAUUCUGCUAUAACAAUUGCAUAGAAAACCUACUGCAGAAGAGCACCAUGCAUGAAAACUGAUCAUAGCAAACGUUCUUAUCCCAAUGACUUAGUAAGUGUGACUCGCAAAAGAACAAAAUAUCCUAACACCAUCAGUGGCUAAUAACGAGGACUAGGUACACAAAAGAUCAACACAGAGCAUGUUUAACAAGGAGCGCAGAACCAUGUGUCCGUUCCAUCCAAGAGUCAUGCAGAGAACUGAAUAAUCAUGCUUUCUUCCUCCUGAAUAAAGUCACUCGUCUAUCCCUUUUGCGGUUAAUUUACGAGCUAAUUUCAUCGCAAAAUUAUUAAGAAUCAUGGCAGUGCUACUCACAUCCAGAUCAAGGGUGUGGAAGCACUAUCGUCAUCGUCGAGACAAGAACGAUCAACAAGAAUCUUUCUUGUCAAAAAAGAAAAAAUGCAGGGCAUCAACAAAGGGCAUGCAGACCUGGGCACGUCAGGAGCCCUGUCACACGAUGAAAAAUUGCACGACUGCUAGACAACAAAGGAAAGCAAACACAGAAAAACACUUAAACAAAGUGGAAACAGACACACACUCCACUUAUUCAUAAAGUCCUCAUCGUACAUCCGUCCACGGAAGCACACACCAUUCACCAGUGACGAACCAUACACACCGUCAGAGGAAAACGGAACCCAAACCGAAGCUACGCUCUUCCAAUAACGGCCAACGUAAUUGCUAGGAACAGAAUUAACGCGUCCACACCCGCCAGUGUCCAAGCGAGAAGUGAUUCCUUGCGCCCUCUGCAGGCCUUGCUCAUUGGUCGUGACGUCAGCCUAUUGUCUCAGGGCUACACUGUUUUUUUUUUCACUAAUGUCCAACUUCUUUGUUUGGUUCUCUUUGCUUUCCCCCCUUUUUGUCUGACAAACAUGUGCUGACAUGCCCCGACCUGUUCUGUCAUGCUUUCCUUCUGCAUGUAGUUUUUUCUUUUGACAAGGAACGCCCUGAAUGGGAGUAG